UCCACAUGCCAGUAUAUGGAGAAAUAGGGAGUAGACACUGUUAGUUGCUAUUUUACUGGAGCAUAGACUACUUCAACCAGAUACCUAAUGCAGCUAUAUGUUUUAGGGAAUCUUGGCUAGGUGCUCUAUGUGUGUGCACACCGCGUCUCAUGGAGCCAUUCUGUGACCUUGCAAGCUCAUCCAUCCUGAAGACAGCUCGAACGCUGGCUGGAGUUUCCAGGCGGAGGCUCCCAGAUUCCUUUUGCCCAGGCUUACGUCUCCCUUCUAUAAUUCUAGCUCUUACUGUUCCAAAGGGCGGUAAUGAGGCAGCUUCCCUGGGCCUUUGAGUCCAUGUUGGUCUGUAUUCAUUUGCCACGAUAACAAAGUAGUACCAGAGAUAGUAGCUUAAAAACAAACUGAUUUUGCCCAGAAAUCCAAGAUCAGGGUUUUAGCAGGGCUAGUUGCUGCUGAAGGCUCUUAGAAAAAGGUCUGUAUCAAGCCUCUCUCCUUGUCCUGCAGUUGGCCAUCUCCCUGUGUCUCCACAUGGGCUUCCUUCUAUGCAAAUCUCUGAAUCCAAAUCUCCUCCUUUAAUAAGAACAUUCAUGUUACAAUCGGGCUUACCUUAACUUAUAAAUAAUUGCAUUUGCAAUGACUCUGUUUUCAAUUACAGUGACAUUCAGAGGCCUGGAUGGUUAGGACAUCAACAUAGGAAUCUGCUGUUGGGCACAACUCAGCCAGUAAUGUUCCAUGAAAGAAACCAUCUAAAAGGAAAAAAAGACCAAAAGAAGACUUCUAAGAGGGGAAGAGAUCUCCCUUCUGACAUUAGCUACAAGUUUACCCUCGGAGUGAGGAUGCUAACACGUCGAGAGGCACACCCCAAAGACUCAGACUCCAGACCAGCUGAUGCAAAAGCAAGAGGAUUUAUUCGGCGUCUGCGCAGACGGGCCUCCUGAACUCGGAGUCCAGAGAGCACCCCCAGCACAAAGCCACACGGUUUAUCUACCCGCAGCGACCAAUCAAAAGCACUACAGAGUCCAUGCACACAGCAGUCCAAUCCUCGAGCUGAUCAUGUGAAGGGCAUGCGUCUUCUAUCCAAUCAGCUAUGGGAUCACAUGGGAGGUGUGCACCUCGUCGCCAUUUUGUUGUUUACUUCUUUAGUAGUUCCUUUCCCUGCCAGCGCCAUCUUGUUCACCCUGAGGGGGACGACGUCUCGCUCCCUUUGUUCUCCUGGUGGGAGAGCGGCGUUCCACUUCCCACACCGUUAUUUGAGUAUUAGGAGGUAUACAAACUGGGUUAGGUCUCAGCACAGCCAGGCACAAGUGACUCAGCUAGCUAAGCAUAGGGUCCCUUAUUUUUAUAGCUGCACCUAAUUUUAGCUUUGGGGGAAAAAGUUUAGGGCUGUAAUUUUUUAUUUGGGGCAAAGAUAACUUCUUGUUUUUAAUGGUAUUGGCUUAGGUCACUCCAUCUUGGUUUGAUUUUUAACGUUCUUCAUUCGCCCCUUUUCUUUUUGGAGAGAUUUUAAUCCUAAAAUCUAAAGGUCAGCGUCGUCCCUGAGUGCCUGGUAUUGUUGGGUGAGUACAAGGGCCUGCGUGAUGGACAGCUGGUCCCGAUGAACUGCAGCAAUCGAUUGAGGAUGCACGGGCCAAAAGUUAAAAUUAGGAGGAGGAUAAUGAGGGGGCCUGUGACUGUGGAAAUGAGAGUGGUUAACCAGGGGGACUUGUUGAACCACCCCUCAAACCAGCCUUGUUGGGCCUCUCAAUCUCUACGUCUUUUGUCCAACCUAGCCCUUAGUUUUGCCAUGGAGUCUUCUAUGACUCCCGAGUGGUCGACAUAAAAACAGCACUCUUCACCAAGGGCUGCACAAAGGCCCCCCUUCUAUUCUGUAAGACUACCUCGGACAGGGAAGUGAGGGAUUCCUUCAGCCUAGUUAUAGAUUGUUCCAGGGCCUGUAUGUCUUCAUCAAUGGCGAUUUUUAAGUCAUUGUAAUGCCGAGGACCCUGGAUUAAGGCUGCUGUUCCAGUUCCAACCCCGGCCCCAACUCCGAGCCCUAACAGGACUCUGCUAGGAGGCCGGCGCCGUGGCUCAAUAGGCUAAUCCUCCACCUUGCGGCGCCGGCAUACCGGGUUCUAGUCCCGGUUGGGGUGCCGGAUUCUGUCCCGGUUGCCCCUCUUCCAGGCCAGCUCUCUGCUAUGGCCAGGGAGUGCAGUGGAGGAUGGCCCAGGUGCUUGGGCCCUGCACCCCAUGGGAGACCAGGAGAAGCACCUGGCUCCUGGCUCCUGCCAUAGGAUCAGCGAGGUGCGCCGGCUGCAGCGGCGGCCAUUGGAGGGUGAACCAACGGCAAAGGAAGACCUUUCUCUCUCUGUCUCUCUCUCUCACUGUCCACUCUGCCUGUCAAAAAAAAAAAAAAAAAAAAAAAAAAGGAGUCUGCUAGGGUCAAAGAAACUGGCUCUCUACGGAUGCGGGUGGGGCGUCUAUCAUAGGAAUCUUCUAGUGUGUUGGUUGGAUGGUAAAUUAUUUUAGGCACUAGCUGUACCAUAACAAAAGUCCUGGGUGGCACUAAGGACCGAGGGACACACACAGGGGUAAGUCCCUUGUUACAAGCCCACCAGUUUCCGUAGCCUGGACUAACAUGGGCAUAGGUUGUUAAAUUUGCACUUGGGAUGGUAACAUUACACAGUUGUAUAUGAGACGGGGAAGGGUUUCCUAGGCAUGUUCCCUUUCCGGAAACUUGGGUCAGGGUAAAGUGGGCGGGGGUUCCUGGCUAUUACGGUGGAAGUAAGCAAAGCUAAAAGCAUUAGGGAGUUUUUUAAAGUCAGCUUGAGCGGAUUUUGGGUGCGUUGCAAUUUCCAUUGUGCUGGCUCGCCCGAAGCUCUAUCAGCUCCCGAUGGUGCUCGCUUGACGUGGGACGCGUGAGCCCAGGCGGCGAUUCCAUCUACCUUAAGGGCUAUUGGAGUGAGUGGUCAACAGUACAGUGUAGGGGCCCUUCCAGCGGGGUUCGAGAGUCUUAGACUGGUGUCUUCGGACGUAGACAGAGUCGCUGAUUUGGAAGGAGUGAGGGACUGAUGCGUUCCCGGUCCAGUAGGCCGCAUCUAGAGGUCUCCAGAUCUGGUUCUGUAUAAUCUGGAGUGCCUUUAGUCGUGCCUGCAAAUUAGGUGCGUUAAUAAAGGGGUCAAGCAUAGGGUCAAGCAGAUUUGCGGCGGGAGGGGAUCCCCCAUACAGUAUUUCAUAUGGGGUUAACCCGUGGUGGGAGGGGGUGUUCCGGACCCGGAACAAGACCAUAGGGAGGAGUUGGACCCAGUCUCUAGUGCCAGUCUCCAUACCUAAUUUAGUUAAGGUCUCUUUAAUUGUUCUAUUUGUCCCUUCUACCUGUCCUGAACUUUGGGGUCUAUAAGCACAAUGUAAUUUCCAAUUUAUCCCCAGUGUUUUGGCCACCAGCUGACUUACCUGGGAGACGAAGGCAGGCCCGUUAUCAGACCCAAUUACCUGAGGGAGACCAAACUGCAGGAAGAUGUCCUCGAUGAUUUUUUUGAUGACCACUUGAGCGGUUUCUCGUUUGGUGGGGAAGGCUUCCACCCACCCAGAGAAGGUGUCUACAAAAACUAGGAGAUACUUGUUACCAUAUUUUCCUGGCUUAACCUCAGUGAAGUCUACCUCCCAAUUGACUCCGGGUCGAUCCUCCCGGGACCUUGUUCCUUCCGGCAGCUUGAGGCGCCCUGCAUUGACCUUAGCGCAGGGAACGCAGGACUCGGUGACCUCUUGAACUAGAGAGUUAAGCCUUGGGAUAAAGUAAGGUUGAUCUUUUUGUUGCAGCAGCAUUUUUAGUUUUUUAUGUCCUAAAUGAGUCCACUUAUGGAGUUGAGUUAUUAGUUCACGGGCCAUUUUGUGGGGCAGGACAACUUUGUCCUGGAAUGUCCAAACUCCCUUUUGUUCAUCGUAAUCCGCCCCAAGCCGCUGGAUUUCGUCCAAAUCUUGAUCUAAAUGGGGGAAGGGGAGGUCCCUGUGGUCUGGCGUAUGGUGGGCCACCGCAGUACUCAGGUGUAGAGUCUGUGGGCCUACCGCAGCCGUUCUGGCAACCUCGUGUGCCAUUUUAUUUCCUCUUGUUAUAGGGUCACUUCCCUGCUGGUGUCCAGGACAGUGAAUUAUGCUCAACUUUUUAGGUAGGAAAAGCGCCUGUAAGAGGUCUAAAAUUUCAGUCUUGUUUUUUGUGUCUUUUCCUGCUGAGGUUAAGAGGCCUCUUCUUUGGUCAGUUUCUCCAUGUAUAUGGGCAGUAGCGAACGCAUAGCGGCUAUCAGUAUAGAUGUUAACUUUUUUCCCGCUAGCUUGUUUAAGGGCCUGUGUGAGGGCCACAAGCUCGGCUUUCUGAGCCGAGGUUCCCGCAGGCAAGGCGCUUGCCCAUAUUAUGGAGUGUCCAUCCACCACGGCCGCCCCUGCCCUCCGCUCACCGUUUUGUAGAAAACUGCUCCCGUCGGUGUACCAGGUGUGUUCCGCGUCUGGUAACGGCCGGUCCAUCAGGUCCUCCUGGGUGCCAUGGGCCUCAACCAGGAUUUGGUGACAGUCAUGAGGUACCCAGGCACCGGGCUCCAUAUCCGGGAGCAGGGUAGCCGGGUUCAGGGGGGUGGCAGGUCCGAACUGAAUCUGCUCCGGGUUGAGAAACAUGGCUUGGUAGUGAGUCACUCGGGCAUUGGAGAGCCACCUAUCUGGUGGCUGCCGGAUGACGGUGUCAAUGGCAUGGGGGGCCACCACGGUGAGGGAUUAUCCUAGAGUCAGUUUAUCUGCGUCUUUGACAAGGACUGCCACUGCGGCCACCAUGCGCAGACACGGGGGCCAACCAGCCACCACAUUAUCCAAUUUUUUUGAAAAGUAAGCCACCGGCUUUUUCCAAGGUCUCAGUUUCUGAACCAGGACGCCCUUCGCUAUUCCCCUUUGUUCAUCAACGUACAAUGUGAAGGGCUUAGUCACAUCGGGGAGGCUUAGGGCAGGGGCUGACAAUAGAGCCCUUUUGAUUUGAUCAAACACCAUUUGAUGUUCUUUUUCCCAUAUAAAGGGGGCAUUGGGUUUAGUGAGGGGGUACAGAGGUGCUGCUAAUUCUGCAAAUCCUGGUAUCCAUAGUCGGCAGAAGCCUGCACUGCCGAGAAAUUCUCACAUUUGUCGGGCGCUCUUGGGCAGUGGAAUUAGGGCGACUGUCUGUUUCCGGCCCUCUGUUAGCCACCGCUGACCACCUUCUAGCAGGUAUCCCAGGUAGGUCACCUGUCUUUUGCACACUUGUGCCUUUUUCGCGGAGGCUCUGUAUCCCAAUUCCCCCAAUUUUUUUAGCAGGGCCCCUGUACCUUUUAGACGGUCCUGGUCUCUGCCGCCAAAAGCAUGUCGUCCACAUAUUGAAGGAGGACUAUGCUGGGGUUGUUGACUUGGAAGUCUGCCAGAUCCUGGUGCAGGGCCUCAUCGAACAGGGUAGGCGAAUUUUUAAACCCCUGUGACAAUGUCGUCCAAGUGAGUUGUCCGGAAAGUCCAGCCUCCGGGUCUUUCCAUUCGAAGGUGAACAGGGGUUGACUUUGAGGACUCAGUCUUAAACAAAAGAACGCAUCUUCAAGGUCUAGUACCGUAUACCAUUGAUGGCUUGGUGGUAGGGCACUUAGCAGGUUGUAAGGAUUGGGCACAGUAGGGUGCAGGUCUCCCGUCCUUCGGUUAACUUCCUGUAGGUCCUGCACUGGCCUGUAGUCCCCCAUGCCUGGCUUUUUUACUGGGAGGAGGGGGGUAUUCCAAGGCGAGCGGCAUGGUUUUAAGAUGCCCAACCACAACAGUCUCUCUAUAUAGGGCCUGAUGCCCUCCUUGGCCUCUUUGCUCGUAGGAUACUGCCGGAUUGACACUGGGGUGGCCGAGGGUUUUAAGUCAAUUAUUAGGGGCGGCUGGUUGACAGCCAAUCCUACUCUGGCUGUUUCUGCCCAAGCUUGGGGAAAGUCCGUUAACCACUUGGGGUCUAGAGAGGUUGUAUUAGCUGGGGUUUUUUCGAGCAAUCGAUGUUCAUCCUCUAGGCGUAUUGUCAGUAUUUGAAGGGGCUGCCCUUCCGGGCCGGUGGCUGAAAUCCCCUUAUCAUGAAAGUGAAUUUGGGCCCCCGCUUUUGAAAGCAAAUCCUGGCCCAAUAGGGGGUAUGGGCAGUCUGGCACCAGUAGGAACGAGUGAGUCACCUGUCUGGUGUUCAAAUGGACCUUUCGUUCAGUUGUCCACCUGUACAAUUUUCCCCCAGUAGCUCCCUGGACCCAAGAAGUUUUAGAACUCAGAGGGUCCCUGGCCUCAGUCAGCACUGAAUGUUGUGCUCCCAUAUCUACCAGGAAGGUCACCAGGUGCCCCCCUACAUCAAGAGUUACCCUGGGCUCGGGGGGGGGGGAGCUCCUGGCCCUGACUUUCCUAGUUGUCUUCCCCCAAGGGCAGGACUGGAACGUCUUUGUCUUAGUUUCCUGAGACAGCUUAGGGCAGUCCUUAACCCAGUGUCCUUUUUCUUUGCAGUAGGCACAUUGGUCUCGUUCUACUCAGGGCCUUCUCUUGUCUCCCAGGGUCUUAUUCUGUCCUGGCCUACCUUGCCCUGCACCCUGCACUACCGUGGCCAAAAUUUUGGUUAAUUCUCGAUUCCGCUUUUUGUCCCGGAUGUCCUCCCUCCGCUCUUGCUCUUUGCGUAAUCUUUCUUCCUUUUCCUCCUGUGUUUCCCUUUUAUUGAAAAUUUUAUCUGCCUCCUUUAGUAGGUCCUGUAAUGUAUACCCUUGCAGCCCGUCCAGUCGUUGUAACUUGUUUCGGAUAUUGGGAGCCGACUGUCCGAUAAACGACAUAAUUACAUCCGACUGGCAUUCGGUGGCCAAAGGGUCAAAAGGGGUAUACAUGCGAUAACCUUCCAUUAAGUGUUCUAAGAACCCUGCCGGUGUCUCUUCCUGACCCUGGAUAAUCGCACGUACCUUGGCCAAAUUGGUGGGGCGCUUCCCUGCCCCUUUGAGACCCGCUAACAGAGUCUGGCGAUAGAGACGGAGUCGCUCCCUACCGGCCACGGUGUUGUAGUCCCACUCCGGGCGAGUCAGAGGGAAGACGUCUGCGAUCUCGUUAGGCAGUUGGGUCGCCUGCCAUCUGCUCCCAGCACAUUUUUACGAGCCUCUAAUAUGACUCGCUGUUUUUCCUCCUUGAGGAGGGCCUGUAGAAGUUGCUGACGAUCAUCCCAAGUGGGUUGGUGAGUGAGUAGAAUGGAUUCAAUUAAUCCGGUCAAAGCUUGGGGGUCUUGGGAAAAGGAGGGAUUGUGGGUCUUCCAGUUGUAUAGGUCGGAGGCGGACAACGGCCAAUACUGAAUCUGGCCGGCCACCGACCUUAAAGGAAAUGCUUGAGAGGACCAGACACGCUCCGGGCCACUGGCACGUUCCCUCCACAGCCACAGGCGAGUAGAGGGUGGGGAGGAGGAAGGCUCUAACCCUCCCAUUUCGGUGGAGUCAGGGGAGAGUGGCUCAGGGUCCUGGGGUUCCUGAACCAACUGUGGUGGGACCCGAGGAGGGUACGGAGGAGGAGGGUCUAGAAGUAGAAGACUUUCCUGAGUGUCUGGGAGAACUGGUGGAGCUUUAGGCAUAGGCUUAGGUGGUUCAUUCAGGGGAAAAAGGGAAGAAGUGAGCGGCGCCGAAGGUAAAGGCACGAGUGGGGUUGAAGAAGGCCUGGGGCCUGGUUUCGGGGUCUGUGCCCCUAAAGAGGAAAGGGAAGGCUUAACCCAUGUUGGGGGAUCUCGGGAGAGACUUUCCCAGGUGACAAUAUAGGGCACUUGGUCAGGAUGUCCAUGCGGUCCUGGUUGGAAAACCUCUUUGACCUGUAAAAUAGUAGUAAGGUUAAAAGUGCUGUCCCGCGGCCAUCCGACCUCAAGGGAGGGCCACUCAGAGGUACAGAAAGCCAGCCACUUUUUCUUGCACACUUCCACUGACUGGUUAUGUGCCCGUUUCGUGACCUCUUUCCAAUGUCCUAAAGUCAGACUUAAAGGAGUAGUUAGUUGUUGACCCAUGGGUAAAACAAUUGAAUCGACAACGUGCAGGACACCGAAUAGACAGACGAACAGAACAAACCACACAAGUCGCGUGGCAACUGAUCAGCAACAAACCAAAAGUACGAAUCGAGAGGGGAGCGGCCGACCUUGGCCGGGUUCCCCGGGGAGGAGAGAGACCUGAUCUCUCUCCCUCCCCCACAAAACUCUUGGAGCAUCCUCCAGGGCGGGACCAGGGGUCUCAGGGCACGUCUGCCUCCCCCGCUGACCCAAGCGAAACAAGCCCUGUACAGGUACAGUUUUUCGAAACACCGAAGACAUACACACACACAACAGCAACACGAAAUGAAAACUGAGCUAGCUCUUACCUCCAGCCGAACCUGGAAUUGAGUCUGGGGGCGCACCAAUCCCGGACGAGCCCCCAAAAUGUUAGACUCUUGGAGUGAGGAUGCUAACACGUCGAGAGGCACACCCCAAAGACUCAGACUCCAGACCAGCUGAUGCAAAAGCAAGAGGAUUUAUUUGGCGUCUGUGCAGACGGGCCUCCUGAACUCGGAGUCCAGAGAGCACCCCCAGCACAAAGCCACACGGUUUAUAUACCCGCAGCAACCAAUCAAAAGCACUAUAGUGUCCAUGCACACAGCAGUCCAAUCCUCGAGCUGAUCAUGUGAAGGGCAUGCGUCUUCUGUCCAAUCAGCUACGGGAUCACAUGGGAGGGCAUGCGUCUUCUAUCCAGUCAGCUACGGGAUCACAUGGGAGGCAUGCACCUCGUCGCCAUUUUGUUGUUUACUUCUUUAGUAGUUCCUUUCCCUGCCAGCGCCAUCUUGUUCACCCUGAGGGGGACGAUGUCUCGCUCCCUUUGUUCCCCUGGUGGGAGAGCGGCGUCCUGCUUCCCACACCAUUAUUUGAGUAUUAGGAGGUAUACAAACUGGGUUAGGUCUUAGCACAGCCAGGCACAAGUGUCUCAGCUAGCUGAGCAUAGGGUCCCUUAUUUUUAUAGCUGCACCUAGUUUUAGCUUUGGGGGAAAAAGUUUAGGGCUGUAAUUUUUAAACUUUAAUUUUUUAUUUGGGGCAAAGGUAACUUCUUGUUUUUAAUGGUAUUGGCUUAGGUCACUCCAUCUUGGUUUGAUUUUUAAGGUUCUUCACUUUGGAAAAGGCACCUGAACAAUAAACAAUUCCUGGGCAGUCUACUCUCCUUCAAACAGUGAACUAAUACAAUUUGCACGUGCAAGAUGCACACAAAGGAGAGAACUCUUAAGAUUGUUUCAGGCUGCACUAUGAAACUUUCUCCCUUGUGUUCUCCUUUGUGUUUCAUUACUGUUAACUGUGGAUGAUAUUAAAAUGCUGCACAAUGUGAACAGGAAAAACUAUAAACUGUUUUGCAUGGGCCAGUUUUUCAUGACAAAUGAAUUUUAGCUUUAAACACGUAUACAUGUUCAAUGUUUGUGAGUUGUGUUCCUAAGGAAGGUCUGUUUUGGUGCAUUGUCCCAGAGAAGCAGGAGCAGUCAGUGUCAGGCUGUUGGAUCUGACUUACUGUAGCAGUGACAGUGUGCUUCUUACGUAAAAUUUAUAUUUAACCACAAGAGAAAAGUGUGUCACUGGGGAAAAAUGCAUAUAACUAUGUGUUUGCAUAUAUAACUUUAUUCUGUAGAUUAGACUUUAUAUAAUUUGUUUAUUUAGUUUCAGUUCAGGGCAAAAGGAGAAAAAUGAAGCUUGAGAAUUUGCAACAGAUUUUAUUUUUGCUGCCUCUUUACUAGGUGUUAACUGAGGAAUCAAACAUAUCAGGACUGAUUCAUAUGUACUUUGAGCAGGUAGUAUCAAAAUAAGCAUUUGUUAUUCACAACAAAGAGGAGUUUGAAAGAUCACAUUUUCAGAUUCAGCCUCUCUCUGUGAUGUUUAAUUGUUGUAGUAACUUAAAUUGGAAGAAUCUCUUAGAAUAGGAGAAAUAUUGUUCCCUGGUGAUGGACUUCAUCCUAAGUAAGAAUGUUAUGGAGAAUAAAAAUUGACUUCCUUUACUCCACCAUUAAGAUUGAGCCUAUUAAAUUUCCAUGUGAAAUAUAACUUUUAAGAAUUUAACAGAGUCUUACAGGAAAACAAAAAUUUGCUUGGUAAUUAAUGUUGUCAUCUAUCAAAAAAAUUGAUGUAUCUAAAGGACACCACACUGGUACAUUGAGAAUUGAUUCACUGCUCUACUCUACAUUUUCUAGCGACAGUGACUUCAAUAAUCAUACCGUAUUAGUGAGUAUUUCAGUUUACCCUUGCCUACUGUAGUGUUUAUUGCAAAUCCUAAGGAUUUUGUAAAGAUUUUAUUUUAUACCAAAAAUGUCAAACGCUGUGCUUUAAGAAUAUCCAUGUUUAUAAAGUGUCCACGUUUCUGGUAAUGCAAUGCCUACCAUCUUAUGGUAGUUGAUUUAUUUUUUAUUUAUUACGUAUAUUUUUGGUAUCAUGGGUGCUUGAAACAAUGAUGAAAGCUGUUAGUGUAUUCUGAAGCAAGUGCUCUACUAGCCUUUUCCUCUUUCCAUUUUUAAAACACAUUCUCAAAAUAGGCACAGAUUAUUUCCAGAGCAAUCUUGCCUUUCAAUUUAUCAGUCUGUUGUCGCUUCCCUUUUGUCACCCAAAUAGGGCUUUUCCUUAGAAAGGAGUGAGUGGUCUAGGUUAAUCCUCCACCUGUGGCUGCGGCGCCGGCACCCCAGGUUCUAGUUCCGGUCGGGGUGCUGGAUUCUGUCCCAGUUGCUCCUCUUCCCGUCCAGCUCUCUGCUGUGGCCAGGGAGUGCAGUGGAGGAUGGCCGAGUCCUUGGGCCCCUGUACCGCAUGGGAGACCAGGAGGAAGCACCUGGCUCCUGGCUUCGGAUCAGGGCAGCGUGCCGGCCGCAACGUGCUCGCUGUAGCGGCCACUUGGGGGUGAACCAACGGAAAAAUGGAAGAUCUUUCUCUCUAUCUCUCUCUCUCUUACUGUCUAACUCUGCCUGUCCAAAAAAAAAAAAAAAAAAGGAAAGUAGUGAGUUGUUUUAAAUACAUGUUUAAAAAAUGACCAUUGGGUAACUGUUCUUUAAGAUAUAAAAAUACAAUAUUUGUGCCUUUUUCAUUUUUGAAUUUUAAUAUAUAUUGGUUUUUGGAACACAAACAGGUGCCAUACUAUGGCUUGACAGUGUUAUCUCCUUAAAUAGUCAUGUGUUACUGUCUUGUAAUUGGAGAACCUUGCAUGAAUUAUGUGAUUGUGUGUAUGUGUGUGUAUGUGUGCACCUGUGUUUGCUUGGGCUUGUGUGUGGUUUGUUCAAGAGUGUAUUUCUGAAACUAGGACUCAGUUUAAUGUUGAAAGUUCAGGUUGGUUGAAAUAUUCCACUUAAAUGUGAUUUAUUUGGGGGCACAGUUAACUGACAGAGAUUAUAAUUCUUAAAAAAUGUGUUCAAUUUACUGCAUGACAAAAUGUGAAGAUAGUGCCUUUUAAGGUCAUCAGUUAUAACAGAAUUAAAUAUUAUCAAAGAUCCCUUACAAAGCUGUUAUGAACAUUUUUAUUUAAUUUUUGGCUCUAUCUGAGAACUUAAAUUGUCAAAAGUAUAAUUA